CAGAAGGAAGAGGAAGAAGCCUCAUGUACCACAUUGCCACAAUUUCCACACGUAGACUGAAAUUUUGGCACUGAGAACUGAUGUAGUUUGUUAAGGAAAGUAUUUACUCAUAAAGAAGUGAGAAGAUUAUUCCAGCCGUCCAAAGGUCUGAACGCGUUAUUCUGUCUUAAACAAAGCAAGACGACAAAGCAGUGCCUCGUAACAACCGUCUACGAUGAGAUUGGACGCACUCCCAGCAAAGACAUCAGAUUCGUGUUCGCCAGCGCCCACACCCAUGUCAACGUUGUCUUGCGUGUCGAAGUUUGUCGUAUAGUCAACUUGCAGGGUUGACAUAUGAUUUGGUUUGAAAUGUAAUAUUUGCUUUGGUUUGUAAU
rnacentral:lncRNA from 1 species